UAAAAUGCAAAGGAAUGGAUACACUGAAGGGAACAGCUUUCUGUGGGUGGAAGAGAUCCCCUAAGCUCACUCAGCAAACACCAGCAGGCCCAUGCUGUGCGCAAUGACCUCUGUGAUGGAGAAUCCAUAAUUACAGAGCUUCUCUUCAGGGAUUUCAGAACUCCCUUGCUCGGCUAAAGGACCCUUCUCUGCCUUCUGCAAACCUCACCUUCAACACCUCUCACGUUCUGCUGGAAUUAAAUCUCAGUGUCCCACUGUACAUGUCUUCGAGGACAAGUGGCCAUUUGUAAGUCACUAUUGUGUGUGUAGGGUCU